rnacentral:rRNA from 1 species
CGUGGGUAACCUGCCCAAGAGAUCGGGAUAACACCUGGAAACAGAUGCUAAUACCGGAUAACAACAGAUGAUGCCUAUCAACUGUUUAAAAGAUGGUUCUGCUAUCACUCUUGGAUGGACCUGCGGUGCAUUAGCUAGUUGGGAGGGUAACGGCCUACCAAGGCGAUGAUGCAUAGCCGAGUUGAGAGACUGAUCGGCCACAUUGGGACUGAGACACGGCCCAAACUCCUACGGGAGGCAGCAGAC